rnacentral:lncRNA from 1 species
AAACAUUCAACAUCUGUAAUACAUUACACAUAAAAUUAUUCAACACGUUAAAACAUCCCGUCCCGAUGUUACAUCUAUCAGAGCAUGACCCACUUAAGAGACUACACUAGACUCCAAGCAUUAGCUUCUACCCAACUCAUUGCUCGUUACCUGAAAAAUAGUUGUAAGGGUGAGUUCCUCAAUCGAUAUAACAAAUAUUAUAAAUUAUCAUGUUAUGUUAA